rnacentral:rRNA from 1 species
GAUGAACGCUAGCGGCAGGCCUAACACAGGCAAGUCGAGGGGCAGCACAUGGAGUGGUAACACUUUUGGUGGCGACCGGCGGACGGGUGCGUAACGCGUAUGCAACCUACAUUUUACAGGGGGAUAACGGAUGGAAACGUCUAAUAAUACCCCAUAACAUCAGUUUCGGAAUCGAGAUUGGUUGAAAACUCCGGUGGGAAGAGAUGGGCAUGCGUUGUAUGAGGUAGUUGGUGAGGUAAUGGCUCACCAAGCCUACGAUACUUAGGGGGACUGAGAGGUUAGCACACCACACUGGUACUGCGACGCGGACCAGACUCCUACGGGAGGCAGCAGUGAGGAAUAUUGGUCAAUGGGGGCAACCCUGAACCAGCCAUGCCGCGUGCAGGAAGACGGCUCCAUGAGUUGUAAACUGCUUUUGUACUGGGAUAAUUGUAGCCACGAGUGGUUGCUUGAAGGUACAGUACGAAUAAGGAUCGGCUAACUCCGUGCCAGCCGCCGCGGUAAUAC